AGCGAACGCUGGCGGCAGGCCUAACACAUGCAAGUCGAACGAAGUCUUCGGACUUAGUGGCGGACGGGUGAGUAACACGUGGGAACGUACCUUUUGGUUCGGAACAACUCAGGGAAACUUGAGCUAAUACCGGAUGAGCCCUUAGGGGGAAAGAUUUAUCGCCGAAAGAGCGGCCCGCGUUAGAUUAGCUAGUUGGUGAGGUAAAGGCUCACCAAGGCUACGAUCUAUAGCUGGUCUGAGAGGAUGAUCGGCCACACUGGGACUGAGACACGGCCCAGACUCCUACGGGAGGCAGCAGUGGGAAUCUUGCGCAAUGGGCGAAAGCCUGACGCAGCCAUGCCGCGUGAAUGAUGAAGGUCUUAGGAUUGUAAAAUUCUUUUACCAGGGACGAUAAUGACGGUACCUGGAGAAAAAGCCCCGGCUAACUUCGUGCCAGCCGCCGCGGUAACAC
rnacentral:rRNA from 1 species